rnacentral:lncRNA from 1 species
CAAAAUUUCUUAAAAAAUAUAAUUAAAAUGAUUACUGACUUCCAUUGGGUAUCAAAUCUAUUUUUCCUAUAGUCAGUGAAUCAAAACUUUAUACAUAUAAAUAUAUAAAAUACAGGUGCGGAACCAUUUCCCCAUUCAAAUGCAUUGAUUGACCCAAAAAAGUUGGGGGUUCCAACCCCCUGAACCCGCCCUCUGUAUCCGCCACUGAAAUAUGUUGUUAUGUUCAUCAAUGGUCUAUAAUGUUGCCAAAAUGAUGAGAUACUAUUCAAAGACAUUAUUUUGGUUAUCUGUUAUUUGUUAUAUUGUUGUUUUUUAAACUCUGUGAAUUGUGGAGAUAUAUUGUUAUAAUGCAUUAAAAUAGCGUAAUAUAUUAUGGUCUUAAUUUCUAGAAUGAAAAUUGUUAUGAAUGAAUUAAGUUUGUGUGAUUUGCUGUUGAGUCAGUAUACAUUGUUAUUUAAAAAUUGUUAAUGUUGCAAAAUAUUGAAAAACUUUAUUGAAACAUGUUAUUUCUAUAUGCUGUUGUCAGCUGUUGUUAAUAUUUAAUGAGAUUAUUUUAGUAAAAU